rnacentral:rRNA from 1 species
AGAGUUUGAUCCUGGCUCAGGAUGAACGCUAGCUACAGGCCUAACACAUGCAAGUCGAGGGGCAGCGUGAAGGAAGCUUGCUAUCGUCGACGGCGACCGGCGCACGGGUGAGUAACGCGUAUCCAACCUACCCUUUACUCGGGAAUAACCUUGCGAAAGUAAGAUUAAUGCCCUAUGUACCGCUUCUGCUACAUGUAAAAAUAAGGAAAGAUUUAUCGGUAAAGGAUGGGGAUGCGUCCCAUUAGGUAGUUGGCGGGGUAACGGCCCACCAAGACUACGAUCGGUAGGGGUUCUGAGAGGAAGGUCCCCCACAUUGGAACUGAGACACGGUCCAAACUCCUACGGGAGGCAGCAGUGAGGAAUAUUGGUCAAUGGACGAAAGUCUGAACCAGCCAAGUAGCGUGCAGGAUGACGGCCCUAUGGGUUGUAAACUGCUUUCAUGCGGGAAUAAAUCGACGGACGUGACCGACGUUGUAGGUACCGUCUUAAUAAGGACCGGCUAAUUCCGUGCCAGCAGCCGCGGUAAUACGGAAGGUCCGGGCGUUAUCCGGAUNUAUUGGGUUUAAAGGGAGCGUAGGUCGACUGUCAAGUCAUGUUGUGAAAUACUGUCGCUCAACGAGCGGACUGCAGCGCAAACUGGGAGACUUGAGUCCGCGCAAGGAUGCUGGAAUUCAUGGUGUAGCGCUGAAAUGCUCAGAUAUCAUGAAGAAUUCCCAUCGCGAAAGCAGGUCACCCUGGCCGAACUGACACUGAGGCUCGAAAGUGCGGGUAUCGAACAGGAUUAGAUACCCUGGUAGUCCGCACGGUAAACGAUGGAUACUCAUUGUGCGCCAUUGGUACUGCGUCCUCAAGCGAAAGCUAAACAUACCCCAUGUGGAGAGUACCCCGGCCGCGGUGAAACUCAAAGGUAGUCGGGGGGCCCCGCACACGGAGAGGCACAUGUGUUUAUAUGAGGAGAUACGCGAGGCACUAUACGCGGGUGUGUAGCGGGCGGGGAAUUGACAGAUACGUCGCUCUUUUGGGACUCGCGUGGAGGUGCUGCAUGGUUGUCGUCAGCUCGUGCCGUGAGGUGUCGGCUUAAGUGCCAUAACGAGCGCAACCCUUGUCCCCAUUUGCCAUCGGGUGAUGCCGGGCACUCCGGGGACACUGCCAUCGUAAGAUGUGAGGAAGGUGGGGAUGACGUCGAAUCAGCACGGCCCUUACGUCCGGGGCUACACACGUGUUACAAUGGGUGAUACAGCGGGUAGUGACCAUGCGAACGCAUUCGGAUCCCGAAAACCCUCCUCAGUUCGGACUGGGGUCUGCAACCCGACUCCAUGAAGCUGGAUUCGCUAGUAAUCGCGCAUCAGCCAUGGCGCGGUGAAUACGUUCCCGGGCCCCUUGUACACACCGCCCGUC